UCUGUGUGUCCAUUCCAUGUCCAUCCCGUGUCCUGUGUCCAUCCCAUGUCCAUCCCAUGUCCGUGUGUCCAUCCCAUGUCCGUGUGUCCGUCCCGUGUCCGUGUGUCCAUCCCAUGUCCGUGUGUCCGUCCCGUGUCCGUGUGUCCAUCCCAUGUCCGUGUGUCCGUCCCAUGUCCGUGUGUCCGUCCCGUGUCCGUGUGUCCAUCCCAUGUCCGUCCCGUGUCCGUGUGUCCAUCCCAUGUCUGUCCCAUGUCCGU
rnacentral:lncRNA from 1 species